rnacentral:lncRNA from 1 species
AGAUACAUGGAGAUAUUAAUGAGAGAGAGGGAAUUGGAAGCAGAAGUCGAAUGUUUAAGGGGUUCCCUGGCGAGGGUCGAAGCCGAAAGUCCAAGGUCGGAGGGAGCCGGGCCCCUUUAGGGCUCUUUUUGUCCUUCCAUCUUCCCAUGUAUAUAUUUUUUCUUUUGUUGUUUUGUCUUGUUCUUGUUGUUUUGCUUUUCUUCCUUUAGCCUGCUGGGCUUUGUAGUGUAUAUUUUGUGAAUGAAAUGAAAAGGAGAUUUUGUGUUACCUCAUCCAUGUAUUGCAUUAAAUCGUCGUCUGUCGAACUUCUUUUGUCUCUUGACUUGUUCGACGUCCUUGACUUGUUCGACGUCGGUGUCGUUCGGAGGUGCCCAGUCGUCGCCACGUUGAUUUGCUUUUCUUGUUGUCCAUGGCCGUAGGCUCGAGCUCGUGGUCUGAACUUCACAUUAGUCAUGUCGAGAGUCUUCUUAGAGAUCGGAGAUGUUCGGUAGGAGCUCCUGUCUUUGUUGAGAUGAAGUUCCCUAUGUUUUUGGUGUAGUUUAUUUUUCAUCUGUUGCCGAUGUAGUUCGUCGCUUUCCUUUUUAAUUUUUCUCCUCUUUUCUGAGUGAGGGUCCUCCCCUUGCUUUUUGCGGGGUCGCGUAGAGGUGUA